UUUAAAUAUGAGAGUUUGAUCCUGGCUCAGGAUGAACGCUGGCGGCGUGCUUAACACAUGCAAGUCGAACGAAGCGCUUUGCUUGAUCCCUUCGGGGUGAUUGCUUUG
rnacentral:rRNA from 1 species